CAAAUGAAUAGACGGGGACUCGCACAAGCGGUGGAGCAUGCGGUUUAAUUCGAUGCAACGCGAAGAACCUUACCAGGUCUUGACAGUGUAAAGAAUACUUAAGAGAUUAAGGGCUAAGAAUUAAGCUUGCUUAUUUCACUUUAUAAACAGGUGGUGCAUGGUUGUCGUCAGCUCGUGUCGUGAGAUGUUGGGUUAAGUCCCGCAACGAGCGCAACCCUUAUUGCUAGUUGCCAUCAUUAAGUUGGGCACUCUAGCAAGACUGCCGGUGACAAAUCGGAUGAAGGUGGGGAUG
rnacentral:rRNA from 1 species